AGAAACUGGAUUUUGAUGCAGAUCAGCCAUUGUGGACUCUGAACUGUGGAAUAUGACGGGCGUUAAGCCCACGCAAGGACACACAAGCAAGCGAAGGGAGUCGACUCGCAGCUUUCCGAGCUAGCUCCUGGCUAACAAGCUAACUGUUUCAGACCCAAUUAAAACUGCCAUUUCGCCCGAUUUAUUUUCUCUUAACGCUAUGGAUUCCUAAAAACAUCGUUCGAUAGAGACGCAGCCAUGGCUCAGGUGGAGAAAAAGGCAGGGCUUCUGAGGAGAACAUCCUCUUCUAAGAAACCCCUGAAGGAGAAGGUGGUGCUGAUGUACGAUGAGAUCUUUGGGAAAGAGGACCCGGCCAAGAACAACCCUCGCUUCUGGGAUGAGCUCUUCCUCAUGAAGGUGAAUCUGGAGUAUCUGGAGACCAAGCUGGAGAGUGUGGGUGGGGAGGAGGUUCAGAAGAUCCAGGGGAACAUCAACAGCCUGUUCCACCACUGUGUCCAGGCCUUGGCUGAGGAGCACCAGAUCAAAGUUGUCAACGCCCUACAGACCUUGUGUGCGUUGUUCAGGGGCGUUCAUCAGAAGAACAAGUCUACCUCUGGCUUUGACAUCAUCAACAUGCUGAUGGGCUUCGACAAGGCAGAGCUCCGGAUGAAGGACCUGAUGGAGAGCCUGGACAGCCUGCUGUGUGGAGACGGAUCAGAGAGUCUGAAGAGCCUCUGUCUCAAGCUGCUGCUGUGUUUAGUUACGGUAACGGACAACAUCAGCCUGAACACUCUCCUAGAGUACGUAAUGAUCAACAGCAUCUUUGAGGCCAUCCUACAGAUCCUGUCAGAUGUGUCCAGCAGGGGGCAGCAUGGGCAUGAUGCUGUUGUGCUUCUGGCCCUUCUGGUCAACUACCGGAAAUACGAGUCUGUGAACCCCUACAUCGUGAAGCUGUCCAUCGUGGAUGACGAGCCCACUCUGGACGGAAUGGGCAUGGUUGUCCAUCAAGCUCUGACUGAAUACAACAGGCAGUACAAGGACAAAGAAGAAGAGAACCAGGGAGGGUUUUUCUCCACUCUGACCAGCAUGGUGGGCAGUAUGUUCAUAGCCGACGCGGAUGAGAAGCUGUCUGUUCAGACCAAUGAGGCGAUCCUGCUGGCUCUGUACGAGGCUGUGCACCUCAACAGGAACUUCAUCACCGUCCUGGCUCAGAGUCACCCAGAGAUCGACAUGGCAACCACUCCCGCCUCGCCGGUUCCGACCACUCCCACGACGCCGCUAGGGACGACCCCGCCCAACCUGGACAUGAUGAACAACCCAGAGCUGCCUCUAGACCCCAACCUGCAGACCAGUAACCUGCUCAUCACCUUCCUCAAGUACUCCUCUAUCAUCAUGCAGGACACCAAAGAUGAGCACAGACUCAACAGUGCCAGGCUGUGCCUCAUCAUCCUCACCUGCAUAGCAGAGGACCAGUAUGCUGAUGCCUUUCUGCACGAUGACAACAUGAACUUUAGGGUCAACUUGCACAGAAUGCCAAUGAGACACAGGAAAAAGGCUGUGGAUAAGAACAUCCCUUCCCGUCCUCUGGUGUGUGCUGUUCUAGAUCUGAUGGUAGAGUUCAUCGUCACUCAUAUGAUGAAGGAGUUUCCUAUGGACCUCUACCUACGCUGUAUCCAGAUCAUCCAUAAACUCAUCUGUUACCAGAAAAAGUGUCGGAUCAGGCUACACUACACCUGGAGAGAACUCUGGUCAGCUCUGAUCAACCUGCUGAAGUUCCUGCUAUCUAAUGAGACCAUCCUGCUGGCCAAGCACAACAUCUUCCACCUGGCUCUCCUGGUGGUGAACCUGUUCAACAUGUUCAUAACGUACGGGGACACCUUCCUGCCCACCUCCAACAGCUACGACGAGUUGUACUACGAGAUAGUCAGGAUGCACCAGGUGUUUGACAACCUCUACUGCAUGGUCCUCAGAGUAUCCACCAACACAGGCCAGUGGAAGGAGCCGGCCAGUAAAGUCACGCACGCUCUGGUCAACGUCAGGGCCAUUGUUAACCAUUUUAACCCCAAGAUUGAGUCCUACGCUGCCGUGAACCACAUCUCCCAGCUGUCAGAGGACCAGGUGCUGGAGGUGGUACGGUCCAGCUACGACACGCUCACCCUGAAGCUGCAGGAUGGUCUGGACCAGUAUGAGAGAUACUCCGAGCAGCCCAGAGAGGCCGGCUUCUUCAAGGAGCUGGUUCGCUCCAUCAGUGUGAACGUGAGGAAAAACGUGUCCCUAAACACGCUGAGUCAAGACCUGCUGCUCAGAGAGUUCUCCACCAUCUCCUGAGGAACGCACACACACCAAGACCUGCUGCUCAGAGAGUUCUCCACCAUCUCCUGAGGAACGCACACACACCAAGACACCAUUCCUCAACCUCCCAAAGGAGAAACACAAGUUUCUGAGGGCAACACGCACAAAAACAAACACACACACCUGAUUGAUGGACACAGAUGCACGCCAUCUCUCCCUGUUUCACCAGCGCGUGUGUGUGUGUGUGUGUAUGCAUGUGUGAAUGCUGUGGCAGGACUGUUACCACCAGACUGAUGUCCGGACAUAAGACCCUCCUACUCUUCUCCUCCUCCCCCUCUCCUCAUCAACUCUGUUAAUAUUGUAACUAACUUCUGUUGCCAUAACGAUCAUGGCUUUCAAGCGAUUCAUUAUGUGUUCGGUGAUGAAGAUGAGAUUUUAUUGUGACUGAUGAUCUGCUGUGCUUCUAACAAAGCUUGAGCCAGUGUGGCGAACACUC